UGGCGGACGGGUGAGUAACGCGUGGGUAACCUGCCCUGUACAGGGGGAUAACAGUCAGAAAUGACUGCUAAUACCGCAUAAGACCACAGCACCGCAUGGUGCAGGGGUAAAAACUCCGGUGGUACAGGAUGGACCCGCGUCUGAUUAGGUAGUUGGUGGGGUAACGGCCUACCAAGCCGACGAUCAGUAGCCGACCUGAGAGGGUGACCGGCCACAUUGGGACUGAGACACGGCCCAA
rnacentral:rRNA from 1 species